UGAUCUGUUUAUGGUCGUUUAAAGGAGCCAUGCAGCACCAAAGAGGCAGGAUGAAGUCUUCUUACGCGCACUCAUCAGGAAAUACUUGGAUCGUGCCGCUGCCCCAGUAAAAAGAAAGGCUAUGUGCACAGCCGUUGUUUGCCAUAGAACACGAAAUUGCUUGGACGAAUGCCAGAAAGGUCCAAUGUGGUCGUGUUUCCGGGGAGGAUGCGUGGAUGUUACUCCUGAGUGAGGAGUAAUGGGCUCCUGUCCCAACUGAAGUGCUCAUAUCAAGUUCAGCUGGGCGUCCCCGUGAUAUGUGAUAAACCAAUUCAUAACUUAUUGACCAAUAAUACCUAGCACUGUUGUGAUAAUUUUGUAAAAUAAAGAAUUUGUUUUCUAAUCAAAGUUGAGGAACGAAG